rnacentral:rRNA from 1 species
AGAGUUUGAUCAUGGCUCAGAACGUACGCUGGCGGCACGCCUAACACAUGCAAGUCGAACGAAGUAGUAAUACUUAGUGGCAGACGGGUGAGUAACAUGUAGGUAUCUGCCCUUUGGCCUGGAAUAACACGAGGAAACUUGUGCUAAUACCGGAUAAGUCUUUACGGAGAAAGCUUUAUGCACCAUUGGAUGAGCCUGCACUUGAUUAGUUUGUUGGUGGGGUAAUGGCCUACCAAGACUGUGAUCAAUAGCUGAUUUGAGAGGAUGAUCAGCCACAUUGGGACUGAGACACGGCCCAAACUCCUACGGGAGGCAGCAGUGGGGAAUCUUGCACAAUGGAGGAAACUCUGAUGCAGCGAUGCCGCGUGAGUGAAGAAGGCCCUUGGGUUGUAAAGCUCUUUCGUCGGGGAAGAAAAUGACUGUACCCGAAUAAGAAGGUCCGGCUAACUUCGUGCCAGCAGCCGCGGUAAUACGAAGGGACCUAGCGUAGUUCGGAAUUACUGGGCUUAAAGAGUUCGUAGGUGGUUGAAAAAGUUAGUGGUGAAAUCCCAGAGCUUAACUCUGGAACUGCCAUUAAAACUUUUCAGCUAGAGUAUGAUAGAGGAAAGCAGAAUUUCUAGUGUAGAGGUGAAAUUCGUAGAUAUUAGAAAGAAUACCAAUUGCGAAGGCAGCUUUCUGGAUCAUUACUGACACUGAGGAACGAAAGCAUGGGUAGCGAAGAGGAUUAGAUACCCUCGUAGUCCAUGCCGUAAACGAUGUGUGUUAGACGUUGGAGAUUUAUUUUCAGUGUCGCAGGAAACCGAUAAACACACCGCCUGGGGAGUACGACCGCAAGGUUAAAACUCAAAUGAAUUGACGGGACCCGCACAAGUAGUGGAGCAUGUGGUUUAA